rnacentral:lncRNA from 1 species
CUCAAGUGAGGCAAUUAUUGAGGCAGAGGACCACUCAAAUCUGAGUAGCAUACCGUUCCUUAAUCCUGAAAGAACAUAAAGCCGAUCAACGAGUACAAGUCUUACAUCUUGAGGAAUGCAGCCACUUAUCGCUGUUCCAAGAGUGCUUGUUAAGGUUAUAGACCCAAUGGCAAGAACAUUCACGCCUUUAUCAGAAGUAAAUGAGGUUGUUCCAAGAGUGUUUGUUAAGGUUAUAGACCCAAUGGCAAGAACAUUCACGCCUUUAUCAGAAGUAAAUGAUAGAACUUCUACAGAAGGCUUAUGUGUACCAAUAAUGAAGGUAUUACUAAUGUCCAGUCCGGAUGGAAGAGAAUCCAAAGGAACUCCAUU